rnacentral:misc_RNA from 1 species
AGAAAAAAGCUAAAUUCUUAAUACAAAGCAAACAAGAGUCAGUGCUGGAAGAAAAACAAAAAUAUUUAUUCAAAAUUGGGCACAGCAAAAAUUAAAAUUAAGCUGGCAUUGCUAUGUGGAAGUGGAAGUUCUUGCUUCGGUUGGGGAAGACAUUUAAUCGCUGAGUGAUGUGGGUGUAUUCCGCGGCGUGGAUGUGAAAGUUUUUUGUGUAAACUACAGUUAAUUGGGGAAAAAAGAAUGGUUUAAGACAAAAGCAAACGCAAUUUGUAGCUAAUUGCUGAAGCGUAACUACAAGUACGGAGCGCGCAUCCAACGUUCGUGUGCCAAAUCUACCGCAACAUAAGCUAUCAAUCAGUCAUACGUACACAUAGUCACUCAGUUAGUCGGAUAGUCAAUCAACAGAAAAAUAUAAAAACUAAAUUAAAUAAAUAAAAACACCCCAGCACUUGCAAAUCUAUUAGCGGCAACAUGCAAUACAACAACAAAUCAUCAAUGUAGCAACUCAAGAGCAUUAAUAACCUUUGCGAUUGCUCAUUUUUGUAUAAAAAUAACAACAAGCAAAAAUUCAUUAAAAAUAUUUUAAAAGAAAAACACCAAAGGAUAAAUGUUUUAAAAAAACACUUGCGAAAGAAAAGUUUUUGACUUUCACUGCAAAAAGUUGAAAAUCAUCCAAUAGAAAAAUGCACCAAAAAUCUAUUAAAAAUCAAAAUACAAAUAAAAAAACUGUGAAAAUGCUAUUGGUAGCCGGCAAUACAGUACAACAGCGUAAUAGCAUUAUAACAACAACAAUAACAAAUAGAAAAACAACACGAACAACUAACAUAUGUUGCCAUAUAUCCAGCUGGAGUGCGCUUUUUGUGCUUUCGGUGUUGAGCAUCUUCGCCAGCCAACACCUACCGGCGGCUCAAGCCUUCGAUUUGGGCAAUGAAUUGAAUCUCAAACCGACAAAUUAUGCUGAGUGGAAUGAAAAUGUCACGUAUGUCAGCUCGACAAGCUAUAAUGCGCGUGGCAUGCAGCCGCUCUAUGAGAUAACACAUAAAAUUAUAUGGUUCUUUACUGGUAAAGAUCCACUGCCAGAAGGCUACCUCGUGGUCAAGGAAAACGACAUCGAAAUUGGUCCGAAAGUUGAACGCCAUGAAUGGAUUGAUUUCAUUAAAGAUUAUUGGAAAAUAUGGCUAAUUGUUCUAUUUGUCGGUCUACUAAUUGUCACAAUGCCAGUUGUUGGUCUGUGCUUUUGUUGCUGCCGUUGUGCUGGUGCUUGUGGUGGCCGCUCGGAGCCGUUUGACAAGAAACAUGACACCUGUCGCCGUGUGUUCUUGGGAUUUUUGCUUAUAGUAUUAGCAACAGGUUUGAUCUUCGGUGUCAUCGUCACAUUUGCAACAAACAGUUAUAUGCAACAGGGUAUUGAGAAUAGCACAAAUCGUGUACGUGAUGCCAGCAAUGAUACCUGCAAAUUUCUGCAAACCACAUCGGGACAAAUCGAUCACAUACUCGUAACGAACUAUAAACAAUUAUCCAUACAGCUGGAAAACAUUAUGCGCGAAACCUCAAGUUUCAUCAUAAAAGAGUUGGAGCAAAAGUCCAUGGCCGUUUCGUUGAUUUAUCUCACAGACUUUCUUGAAAAACUGCCGCAGCUUAAAAUAAAGUUACAGAAAAUGAAAAGCAUCACUAAUGAUUUGCGCGUUUAUGCAUCACAGUUGAGCGAUGGGUUGCGGGGCGUUAAGCGUGAGUUGUUAGUUAUGCUUACGAAAUGCAACAAUAAGGCAUGUCAGGAUGUUUUAAACAAAUAUGAAAUCGGCAAGCUUGAUGCUAACGGUAUACACUAUGAUCAGCUACCUGAUGUAACCGACAUCAUUGAUAAUUUGGAUAGUUUGAUUAGUAAGGACAUAGCCUCGGCUGGUAAACGUGGACGUGAUAUGCUUAAUCAAAUGCGCGCACAUCUCAAUACGACAAUUGCGAAAUAUACACCAAAAGUGAUUGAUUCAAUAAACAAAGCAGGAAAUGCUUUCAAAAAGGCCUCAGAUAGCAUCAAAAUGGAAAUUAACAAAGUUUCACAGGUUAUCAAAGAUAAUACUCACAAAUAUACCGGUGUUGCUGAUGGUUAUUUAAAUGAAUAUGGACCGUAUAGAUUUCAUUUCGGCAUAGCAGUAUGUUCGAUAUUAUUGACGAUUUUAGUUUUCGUUGUUGCUGCUUUGUUAUGCGGUAUAUGUGGCAAACGCCCGGACGGUUAUGGCGACGAUUGCUGCAAUAAAGGCUCCGGCUCACGUUUCCUGAUGCUCGCUGUAACAUUUAUUUUCCUGUUUAUCUCAGCGAUUGCUUUAAUCACUUUGGUGCACUUUUUGAUCGGUCUAAUCGCCUAUCGUGGCGUAUGUCUUCCAUUAAAGGACCCUCAAAACGACAAUAUUUUCGCACAUUUUGAUAACGCUAUUAAUUUGAAUAACGUGCUUUAUCCGCAACAAAAUAAGGGCAAACCAACCUCAGGUGGCUUACCAGCUCUACGCAUUUCCCAUGUGAUCACAGCUUGUCAACGGAAUCAGACAAUUUACGAAGUGUUACACAUACAUAAUCGUAUUGAUAUACACGAAAUUAAAGAUUAUCCAGCACAAUAUAAAAUCAAUCAGACAUUGGAUGAUCUCGUUGAUGGCAUUUCCUUUGACGAUAGUGACAUACAAAUAUUGAGUCCUGAAGAUAAACAACGCAUAUUGAGUCUUGCCGAUUCUGCAUUGAAAAAUUUCGAUUCCGCACAAUAUAUAGAUAAUCUCAACGAUACGAUAACAAAACAUUCGUUAACUGAAAUUGCUCAAGAGUUAUUGCAGACAGCGAAGAAAAUCGAUAAGAGUGAAGAUAUGAAAGAUGUACAGGUCAGUCUGCGUAAUCAAGCACUGCACUUGGAGACUUACGAACAGAAUUGGGUAAUACCAAUGAAAAAUAAAUCUGUGGAACUUAUACGCCUUGCAAAUGAUUUGGAUUACAGUCUGCGCUAUAAGGAUCGUCCAUUCCAUGAAUCCAUACCGUUGUUGGUCAAUGAAAUUGAGCGUGCGCAAUUGUUCUUCCGCGUCGAUGGUCGGCAAUUCGUUAAAGAUACAGCCAUCAAUUUGACACAGUAUUUUGCCAGCGAAAUUGAAAACUAUUUGCGUAUGGUUGUGCAGGCUGUAGAGAAGAAAAUCGGUUUGUGUGCGCCAUUGGCGAAUGUCUACGAUGCUGGCGUGGUGUCGUUGUGUAGCGCUAUUGUAGAUCCAUUGAAUGGUUUCUGGGCUGGUGCCGCUCUUUGUAUUGUGCUCUUCUUGCCAACGCUGGUGGUAGCCGUGAAAUUGGCUAGCUUAUACCAGAAAUCUGAUCCAUAUCCUGGUCCGCUGGUGGAAUCGGAGUAUUUGUAUGACGCAUAUAGUGAACGUGAUCACAUUCCAUUGGCAAAUGGUCCAAAGAACAAGCGACGAAAGAAUAAAGAUCGUAGACGCGGUCGUGAAUACUACGAGGAACCUGUUCCCUCCUCGGCGCAUGGUAUACCACCAACUGUGGGUGUGCGUGAUACGCGUUACAACGAUAUGGCACCCAACGCUAAGUAUAUUAUUGGCUCUGUUGAUACGAGGCCACGAUCUUUGGCGGGCGAUGGUUUCUAUUAGGUUCUAAUAAACACUGACGAUGGUGAUGAUGCAUUAUCGGUGACAAUAAUAAUAAUGAUGAUGAUGAUGAUGAUGUAAUGGUGACAUUGGGAUGGCGGCCCACCGAGAUACCAAAAUCCACCAAUGGCACCACCUGCAUCCGAAUAUGAACGCCCACCGCCAUAUUAUUAUCCGGGUGCU